CGGCAGGCCUAACACAUGCAAGUCGAGCGGUAGAGAGGUGCUUGCACCUCUUGAGAGCGGCGGACGGGUGAGUAAUGCCUAGGAAUCUGCCUGGUAGUGGGGGAUAACGCUCGGAAACGGACGCUAAUACCGCAUACGUCCUACGGGAGAAAGCAGGGGACCUUCGGGCCUUGCGCUAUCAGAUGAGCCUAGGUCGGAUUAGCUAGUUGGUGAGGUAAUGGCUCACCAAGGCGACGAUCCGUAACUGGUCUGAGAGGAUGAUCAGUCACACUGGAACUGAGACACGGUCCAGACUCCUACGGGAGGCAGCAGUGGGGAAUAUUGGACAAUGGGCGAAAGCCUGAUCCAGCCAUGCCGCGUGUGUGAAGAAGGUCUUCGGAUUGUAAAGCACUUUAAGUUGGGAGGAAGGGCAUUAACCUAAUACGUUAGUGUUUUGACGUUACCGACAGAAUAAGCACCGGCUAACUCUGUGCCAGCAGCCGCGGUAAUACAGAGGGUGCAAGCGUUAAUCGGAAUUACUGGGCGUAAAGCGCGCGUAGGUGGUUCGUUAAGUUGGAUGUGAAAUCCCCGGGCUCAACCUGGGAACUGCAUUCAAAACUGUCGAGCUAGAGUAUGGUAGAGGGUGGUGGAAUUUCCUGUGUAGCGGUGAAAUGCGUAGAUAUAGGAAGGAACACCAGUGGCGAAGGCGACCACCUGGACUGAUACUGACACUGAGGUGCGAAAGCGUGGGGAGCAAACAGGAUUAGAUACCCUGGUAGUCCACGCCGUAAACGAUGUCAACUAGCCGUUGGGAGCCUUGAGCUCUUAGUGGCGCAGCUAACGCAUUAAGUUGACCGCCUGGGGAGUACGGCCGCAAGGUUAAAACUCAAAUGAAUUGACGGGGGCCCGCACAAGCGGUGGA
rnacentral:rRNA from 1 species